CAUAAGCACAUACCAAAGUUGUUGCUGCGAAAACGCUCGUAAUCGUACUUUGCUAUUUUGGCGGUUGUGCGCGUCGUUUUCAAGCUCUGCGGGGCAUAAUUUCGUUUCUAUUUCGGAGGGAUGUAGAAUUUUAAUUAUUGAACGUCUUCCGCAACAGAUUUUGAAUACGAGAAAAUCAUAGGGCUCAAUGCAGGCCAUUGACCUAAAUCUAUGCUCUGAGAAUAAUAGACUAGGAUUCUUUCUAUUCAGUUAGUUAGUAACAAGAAACUUUUAGGGUACAAAGUCAGGAAUUUUUUAUGAAGCUAGAGGUGAAAUUUUUGGCUACUCGUAAGACAAAAUUCUGCGGAAGAGUCUGGAAAGGGUAUUUUCAUUGA
rnacentral:rRNA from 1 species